rnacentral:rRNA from 1 species
UAUAAGCAACUUGUACUGUGAAACUGCGAAUGGCUCAUUAAAUCAGUUAUCGUUUAUUUGAUAGUACCUUACUACAUGGAUACCUGUGGUAAUUCUAGAGCUAAUACAUGCUAAAAACCCCGACUUCAGGAAGGGGUGUAUUUAUUAGAUAAAAAACCAACGCCCUUCGGGGCUCCUUGGUGAAUCAUAAUAACUUAACGAAUCGCAUGGCCUUGCGCCGGCGAUGGUUCAUUCAAAUUUCUGCCCUAUCAACUUUCGAUGGUAGGAUAGUGGCCUACCAUGGUGGCAACGGGUAACGGGGAAUUAGGGUUCGAUUCCGGAGAGGGAGCCUGAGAAACGGCUACCACAUCCAAGGAAGGCAGCAGGCGCGCAAAUUACCCAAUCCCGAUACGGGGAGGUAGUGACAAUAAAUACUGAUACGGGGCUCUUUUGGGUCUCGUAAUUGGAAUGAGAACAAUUUAAAUCCCUUAACGAGGAACAAUUGGAGGGCAAGUCUGGGCACGGC